rnacentral:rRNA from 1 species
CCUACGGGAGGCUGCAGUGAGGAAUAUUGGUCAAUGGGCGGAAGCCUGAACCAGCCAAGUAGCGUGCGGGAUGAAGGCCCUACGGGUCGUAAACCGCUUUUGCACGGGGAUAACACCCUUCACUUGCGGAGGUCUGCAGGUACCGUGCGAAUAAGGGCCGGGAAAUUCCGUGCCAGCAGCCGCGGUAAUACGGAAGGCCCGAGCGUUAUCCGGAUUCAUUGGGCUAAAAGGGAGCGUAGGCGGGCGUUCAAGUCAGCUGUAAAAGCGCGCGGCUCAACCGCGCACCGCAGUUGAAACUGGACGCCUUGAGUUCACGACAGGCAGGCGGAAUUCGUGGUGUAGCGGUGAAAUGCAUAGAUAUCACGAGGAACCCCGAUUGCGAAGGCAGCCUGCCGGGGUGCGACUGACGCUGAGGCUCGAAGGUGCGGGUAUCAAACAGGAUUAGAUACCCUUGUAGUC